rnacentral:rRNA from 1 species
AUACGUAGGUGGCAAGCGUUGUCCGGAAUUACUGGGCGUAAAGGGCGUGUAGGCGGGAAGACAAGUCAGAUGUGAAAUCCCACGGCUUAACUGUGGAGCUGCAUCUGAAACUGUUUUUCUUGAGUACUGGAGAGGAAAGUGGAAUUCCCAGUGUAGCGGUGAAAUGCGUAGAGAUUGGGAGGAACACCAGUGGCGAAGGCGGCUUUCUGGACAGUAACUGACGCUGAGGCGCGAAAGCGUGGGGAGC